rnacentral:misc_RNA from 1 species
GACAAAAGGGUUUUUCGGAUGAAAAAUCUAGACUAACGACUACAAGCAAGCGUGGUUAAAAAACUGCAGCAUGAUUGGGCGAAAGCCCCCUCUGAUCAUUACCCGUAAUGCUUUUCAGGUCAUUAAAAAACAGCAAGCGGUAUCCCAACCGAAAACACAAGUUCAUUGACAAUGACAAAUUUUUGUCACUAGUUUAUAGGUGAAAAUUAUUUACACAACAGAACAUAGAUGCAUGCAAUUCUUUCCUUGAGUUGUCUUUACACCAAAUACCAUGAAAGUUUGAAAAGAUGAUCACAAAACAGUAAGUUUUUAAGUGUUAUAUUGGCUCAAUAAAUUCUAAACUCCAUUAGUUGGGGGCAAAUAAGACUGAUGAGGUGAAGCUGGUGAGCCCUCUUCAAUGUCUAUAUCUUUCACACCAGCACUUAAUGAUGAAGAUGAGUCGCAUCUCCCAUCCUUUAGCUUAUUAUCACCAUUUUCAUCAUCAUCCUUGUCCUCAAAGAAAGAACCUUUCCGCCGGAGUUCCUUUACCUUUCGAAACUCAUCAUAGUGUGCUCGUCUGUGCUCCUUAAAACUUGCAUUCCUAUCUAAUUCAGAAUCUGGCAACAGUGAUUCAGAAUCUGGCAACAACCAAGCAAAAAAACCCAUCAGCCUUAUUAAGACAAGUAAUUGAAACACACUGUACAAGUAAAAGAAAAGGGAAAUAAAUGAAGUGAGGGAAGGAGCAAUCUUUUUUUAUUUCAUGGCUAAGUUUAUCGAAUUCUCAUCCAGUUGUUUGGCGAAAGGGAAAAUAAGAUCAUUUCUCAAGCAAAGUGGCUGGGUCUAAGGAGGGCAGGUAAGGUGCAAAUAACACCAACCUGCUGUCACAAGAACCAAGAAAAAAAAAUAGUGAUACAACAAAUGAAGGUGAAAUCUGAUUCAUAUGUUUGAAAGCAAAUUUAAGAAUUCUUUUUACAGUUGCUGCUAAAAAUGAUUGGUUGUUAGUAGGUAUCUCAAGAGGAGAAUUAUAAUGCAACUCCAAAGCAGUCAUGCAUCACUCGUACAAGGAAAGCACUUUACAUCUCCUGCUCCUUUCAUAUUCUUUCAUCAAUUCUUGAUUAGAAUCACCAUAUCUAUUUAAUUUGCAAAGCAGUGGCACAGGUAAUGAGCUUGCAACCACAAGAUUGUAGGUUCAAGUCUGAAAAGCAUUAAUUUCAUAUGAAAAGGCUGAACAAAAAUAAUAAAAUUAUGACUAAGGGAAAGAAUAAACAAGGAGCAAAACUUGUUUGAACAACCACCUUCAUCUUGUUCCAUAGGAUCAGCCUCAUCCUCAGAUGAUGUCCAGCCACCAGAUCGCCUACCAGCGUUUCUACUGGAAGAAGCCACUGUAUCCAGUGCAGUCCGUAGUUCCUCUGCACGCAUUGCUUCACCAACAACAUCAUCAAAGCUGCCUCGCCUAGGAGACAGAGACCCUAUAACAAUAAAAAUUUUCAGAUUUUUUCCAAUGACAGUUCAGAAGAUCACAACUUUUAAUCAUAAAAUUCCAACGUAAAGCUGACAGUGAAAGAAAUGGUGAUCAUUGAAACAGCAAUUCAGUGAUCCAAUAUCAACUAAUGAAAAAAUAAAGCCAAAGUUCAGAAAUGCUAGACAAAAAUUAAACUAAUCAAGGGCUUAUUCCAACACACAGGCACAGCUGCAAGUUAAUGGUAGAGAAACACUACUACAUAAAACAUAUACACGUGCAAAAAAAAACGUUUAACCGACUUCUAUAGAAGGAGAAGCUGUACAGAUCAACUUACCAUCAUCAUCAAUCAUGGGGUGAUAAGGUGUCUUGGGUUCAGUUAUUUUCUGUCUCACGGGCUUAUUUGCUUCAAUUUCCCCUAUAUUUGCCUCAUCCCAUCUUACACGAGCCCUAUUACCUCUAUUAAAUGAGAGGAUGUCAGCAUAGACUUCAAAUAAUAGAUCAUAUUGUAAACAAGCAAACUAAUGUACUGCUCUAGCAAGAAAUUCAUAAAAGAAUGACUAUUCUGAAAAGAAAGAAUAAACAAUAAUAGUACAAAUUGGAAAAGGACAGACAGCCACAAGGUUGUCAUGAUUGUAAGUCGUCUGCUAUAGGCAAUUUAAAAUUGUCUUCUUUUAAUUCCUUGUGAUUUAUACUAACAAUCCCUUGGCCUCUGGUACCAGGACAACAGAUCAAAUAUUUUGAGCUGAAUAACAAAAGCACCGAUCAAAUUCUCAUGUAUGUAAAAAAAAUAAGAUGAUAAAAUGAUUUUGAGCAUAAAUAUCUAAAAACUGAUUCAGUUCCUCAUUGCACACAGUUGCAUUCAUAUAUUUUUAACAUCUCUCCAUGGUUUCCUGUUAGAAACUUAGAAUUCACCAAAUACUCCCUAACAGAUUUCUCUGAACUAAAAUAAUAUCAUCAAUGAAUGAGAAUAUAUUUUCAACUUUGCUAGUAGGUCUAUAAAUGUUUAAUCUCCUAACAUUAGCUCUACUAACAUUCAUGUACCAAAAAUACAGGUAAUAAUUUACUAGGGUACUGUUCAGCAAAGCAACACAAUGCCUGACGUAGCAACAAUCGUUUUCUUUGUACAUAAUAUAAAGUAAACUAUCACAAAAAUGAAGACAAACAAAAUUUUUGGAGCAGAAAGUUUAAAGUACUUCAUUUUUAUGAACUUGCUAUCUCCUCUGUCACCAAUAAACACCAAGUAGUAGCUGAACGACCUGAUUCCACUGGGACAAUAAACAAAUAAACUUUUUAAAUUGUUGAUGUCAGAGAACAAUAACCAAAUGCUGCAUAAUGAGAUAGAUGUUAAUUAGCAUGACAAGUAACAUUAAGUGUGUUAAAGCCAGAAACCUAUCUUGGAUAGAAUUUGUGUGGACUGUGGAGAAUGGAAGAGGAACAAAACCAGGGAUAAAUUGAAAAAAAAAUAAGCAGAAACAAAAUCAAAGAAACAAGUUAGAUAUGAUAUAUCAUCAAAACCAUACAAAAUCCACUGUGCAAAUUUAAGAAGUGAUUAAAAGUUGCCACAAUGUGGAAAUAAAAGAAAAAAAAAAAGAGGUCUGACAUGAAAAAUAGCUUAAUAUUAGCAGAGAGAAUGCCUAUAAGAGUUACAGAAAAUCAUCCCCCAAUAAAGUAAAUGACAAAAUAUACAAGAAAAUUCAGGGAUUCAAAAACAGCUGCAAGACUUUGAAAAGAAUUAAGGACAGACAAGAAUGCCAUGAUAGAUACCCAUAAGCUACCUGUACUUUCCUUGGAGUUAUUUGCUCACCUACUAAUUCCCAACUCAAACCAAAGCAUUAAUAAGUUUAAUAAAUCUAAGAGAUAAAUAAUAGAAGUAGAAAAAAAAAAUUAUGAAUUCAUUUCUAAGCCUUGCAUUUGCUAAUAUACUAAGCAUUGCCCCCUGACAUACGUGAUAAUAACUGGAAACCAGAAGAGAUCUUCCAGCCAAUCAACGCAAUCUAAAUUUAAAGGCUAAAUAAAAGAUGCCACCAAGUUAGAACAACCAAAACAAUUUCUUCCUCUAGCUCAGCUUACAUUUAGAUGCCAAUUUGUACAUAUAUGUUAGAAAACUUUCAAAUUGUAGGAUUUAGAUUCAGCUAAUCGUAAAUAUGCAAACACUCCACGUUCGUAAGAAACUUAGACAAGCAAAGAAUGGAAUCCAUUUCCAUAAACAAAUAACUAAACAAGGAAAUAAAACCAUGUCACGAGAUCAAUGAUCCUAAAUUACAACAAAAAAUUCAAUAAUCCAUAAAUUUAAGCAAUUAAUCAAUUAAAUUCAUAGCCACAGAUGCAAAAAAGCGACCUUCUAACAAGAACGCCAACAGAAUAGAACAAAUACAGGAUGUUUAUUCCUUUCCUGUUAUGUCCUUCAAGCAGUUUCUCAAGAACCAAACAACAAAAUAAAUUGGAAAAGAAAAUGGAUCAGAGAUACAUGUACCUGCGAAUUGCCCUUCCUGCUUGUUAUGUCUUGGAAUCGGCCCUUCGGUUUGUCUACUUUUCUUAUUGAACGAUGUUUUAUUUUCCAAUAAUACCCUUUUAUUCCAAUGCGUGAUGAAUCAGGUGGGGAUAGGCCCUGAUCUGGUUAUUACAACCGUACACUGUUUCACUUCCUACAGAAUAAAUGAAAAAGAAAAUUCUAAUGAGUGGUAAGUAUUGUAGUAGUCUUAAUUUUGUUAAUAAUAAAUACGAAAAAUACCAGCUGGAUUCCAAUAAGAUCAUGCCACGCGGCACGCAUUAGAGAUUAUAGGUCUGAAAGACGUGGCGGGAUCUGAUCCUUGACCGUAUUGAAACAUAAUCGAAGGGGCAAAAUGGGGAAUGUAUUGUCAAAAGAAAUAAAAGUGAAAAUAAGGACGAUGAAACUUGAAAGCCCUGCAUAAACCGAACCGGUGCUGUAAAUGAGAGCGUAGGGAGAGGGAGUGUGUUUUGUUAGGAGGUCUGGUUCGCAGACUUAAACGGAGAACUUACCCAGCGGGAGCUUUCUGUCUCCGUUUCUCUCAUCUCAGGCAUCAAUUGUAAGAAUCUGUACUCGAGCAGAUUUGAUUUCUACAGCAAUAUGUUUAUUUUGCUUUACAUAUAUACUGUGGAGUCCAAUUGUUGUUUUCCCUGUAUAUUUAGCAGCUGGUCAUGAUCAUUUUUAUUCUUGAUCUGGGAAUUUCUGUUAUGCCUUGUCGCUUUUCAAUGUAGAAUGUUGAUGGGCAACUGGGUACCUCGCAAUUUUCACAGUUUUCUUCAAUUUAUAUUGUGGUUACUUUAAUGAUCGUUUGAGAUGAGAUCUUGAGUUUUGUUUUUUUUUUUCCCCCUAAGAAUUUACUAAUUAAAGCUAAUUCCUUUCCUGUAAUUUUUAAUUUCAGACUGUGAUUUGUUACCUCCACCAAUUGUCUAAAAUAAACAAAAGGAUCAGGUAAGGAAGAGAGAAUUUGAUUACUUCGUUUUUAUUGAGUAUUGGCUUUGGAUGCUUCAAGAUUCAGUGCUCAUGAAAACUAAAGAAGAAGAGAGGUGUUGAAUAUCUAUUAACCAUGUAAUCAGUUGUGGUUUCUUGCUACUAUUUUUGUUGUUUUCUUAUUAAAUUUUUAAGAAGCUAGGCAUAAAGUUGGAUAAAGUAGACCAAAAUGUGAUUUAAUCGCAAAUCAAUCUGUUGCUAUUCUUGUGAAUACUGUAGUGAGGACAACUCAGAUUAGUGGUGUCAUGGCCAGCCUAAGGACAUGGGAAUAGAUUAGUGGAAAGACUAGUAAUUUUAAGUUCUAAAAUCAGUAUCUGUUGGGUUAGCAUAAUGUGAAUAAAUAAUAAUACAAAUGGUUUGUGUCAUAUGUUAAAGUGUGUUAGCUAAACAUUUGAGGAUUGAUAGGCUGCAGCUGAGAUCAUUGAAAACGGAGAUAGAAUAUUUUUAAUGUAAGCUGUUGUCUUCAGUUUUCUCUGUGUUUUACUUAUUUCUAAUGUAUGUAUUGUUCUGAUCAGUUCCAGGAUUCUCAAGAAGUGGGCGUGAUGGAGAUCAAAUUGGAAUUAUGAAAUUCUUUUUCUCGUAAACCUAAAGGUUUGAAGGACCAAGUAAUAUUUAAGAUUAGAAAUAACAGAAAUGUUCUCAUUGUUCUAUGGUCUUUGGAAGUAUCUAUUCAGUAAGACAGAGUUUCAUGUACUCAUUCUUGGAAUUGACAAGGCGGGAAAAACGGUAAUGCUUCUUUGAGCCCUGAAUUGAUGAACUUUUCAUGUGCUUUACAAAAUGCUUUUCUUCUUAAUCCCACAAUAAAUUGUGAAUUUUGUUUGUGUCAUUGGUUUAGAACACAAUUGCCAUGCAUUUAUCUUUUUCCAUGUGUGAAUCUGUAGACUUUGUUGGAGAAAUUGAAAUCAUUGUUCUCAAACUUAGAAGGCCUCCCUCCUGAUCGAAUUGUUCCUACUGUUGGACUUAACAUUGGUCGCAUUGAAGUAUCAAAUACAAAACUUGUAUUCUGGGACCUGGGUGGUCAGGUAUGUAAAAUUUAUGCAUGAAAAUUAUCUAAUUUUCAGAAAAUAUUUGCAGGGGUGGGCCUUUUCCUUUAUUUAGGCAAGGGCUUGAGUGUUUACAGGUAAUCUCAUGUAUAAAACAUUUUUGGCUAGAUAUUGCUCCUAUUCCAUUUUUAUUCUGGCAAAUUAGUAGGAUCUAGGCUGUAAUGGUAUUCCUGGCUUUGUAGAAUGCUGCAGUAAUCACUACAGAGGUGCUACAGUGCCAGUAUGGACAAAAAUUUAAGUCCUGAUAAAGAGCCUGCUGAGCUUAUUUCAAGCAGGCACUUUACUUGCUAGGGCCUAUAGGCCAAUUUUAACAUGGCCCUAUAUGACAAAAUAUUACAUGUUAUGACACAUGCAAUCACUAUUGUUUUUCAUGAUAAAAAAAUCGUGUGUAAACUCUUUCUAGUUUCACCUAGGAAGCAGGCCGCACAUGGUACAAGGUUUGAAAAUCAAAUUGCGCAAUUGGCAGCAACUGAAGCAUUUUAAUUUUUCUGCCAGCCUGGUCUUCGCUCGAUUUGGGAGAAAUAUUACGAAGAGGCUCAUGCUGUUGUAUACGUAAUCGAUGCUACUUGUCCUUCUCGUUUUGAAGAUUCAAAGUCA